AGGACGAACGCUGGCGGCGUGCCUAACACAUGCAAGUCGAACGGAGCCAGGGGCAACCCUGGUUCAGUGGCGGACGGGUGCGUAACACGUGAGGAACAUGUCUUUCGGUGGGGGAUAGCCGGCCCAACGGCCGGGUAAUACCGCAUACGCUGACUUGAGCUCCUGCUCUGGUUCGGAAAGCAGCAAUGCGCGAUUGAGUG
rnacentral:rRNA from 1 species